CCUCGGGAAGCUUCUCAAGCCCAAGCCAAAGGAGCCGGUGUCUCCGUUCAAGCAACGCAGGCAACAGGCUCCGCUUCCUCACUCCUCACAAGGAUUUCCAACGUACCCCUCGGGCUGCCGGUGUCUUCGCCCUCUCUGCCCUGCUGCCGGUCCGGCGGCGGCUCCGGACGGCGGCGGGCGCGGUGCCGCUCAGCCUGCAGCGGAGCAGGGCUGCGGCGCGGGCAGGCUGCCUGGCAGGGCUCUGCUGGCGUCAAGGGGGCCCUCUAGGUGGGUUCUCCCACACAGCGCCGUCCUGCGUGCUCUGCCUCCCACGCACCGAGGAGGAAGGACGGGACAGUGGGGGGGACCGAGCGCCCGAGACCGCCUGCCAACGCCUGUGUCGCUGAGUGGCUGGGAGCAAGGAAAAUGCAGCAGUCGAGCGCAAAAAGAGGCAGGAAAAGAUAUUGAAGUACAAAAUUCUGAGUUUACAGUAGCUAUUUUUUGAAGACUGAAGACUGAAUUCUGCUGCAUUUACAUGGCAGAAAAUGCUAAGUGACAACCCCACUGCCACCCUUGCUGUUAACCACUACCAGUCUGAUUACAAACAAAGUUCAGCAGUGCUGAGAAGCCUCGCUAUUUUCUGGAAUGUAUACACUGUGAGAAAUGGAAGCCUUCUGCCACAGCAUAUCUCAGAGAGUGAAAACUAUAAUACUUUGAAUCUGGAGAAUCAGCUUUUAUGAAGCACACAGAAAACAGAAAAAACAGGGCAUUCAACAACUUUUUACAUUAAUUGAGAAUUUUCGUUAUGAUGAAUACCAAUUUAUGAAUUAAAAGAAGACAUGGAAGAUUUCUGAUCUUGUCAAGUAAAGUUGGAUUGCAAAAGCUUGAGAACCACUGUUCUAAACAAUUAAUUUAAAUCAACAUUUAAACACCGAAUGUUAUAACCUUUUAAAUUAUAUCUUUAAUGAAGAGAAAUGGUUUAAUAUUUUUUAAAAAGAAUUAACGUACACUUUAAUUUUCCAAGGGAGAAUCUAAAGGAUAAACCAAGAUUUUUCCAAACUCAAAGCAUAAAAAAUUUGCCAAAACUAAGAUUUGAAUAUCUCAAUUUGUUUGCGAGAGAGUUGGGCUUAAAGCAUCUCACUGAAUGAAAAGGAAUUGGAAAACCCAACAGUUGAAAAAUCGGCCUGUUUCUGUCAUUUUCUUUCCUAUGUUUCAGUAAUGGAUCAUCUUGGCAGAAACCAUGGUAUUUGUAUAGAAGGGCAUGCUGCCUAGAUCCACGAUAACCACUUUUCAUCUCAACUUAGUGCUUAGGCAACAGUGCUCAAUAAUGGAUAUGAAAAUCUGUCCCAUUAUCUAAGCCCUAAAUACCUCUUCUGUCUCAUUCUUUAGAGAGCUAAUAACUCAACCUAGCAUUAUUUUACUUCUCAUGUGAAAUUGAAUUUGAACAGGAAAUGUAGAAAACAUCUGCAAAUAUAUGAGCAAUAAAAUUCACAAGUUUUCAAAUAUAUUUUCACAAUAACUGCCAUAUCCACAAAUAUUUACAUAAAUUAUUCAUGCACUUAUAAAUAUGUAACAUAAAAUUCAUAUAUUUUUUUUUUCACAGCUGGCAGGAAGAUGUCAUGUUCAUUAGUUAAAAAAGAAAUAUUCUAAACUGAAGUGUCAUGCAUUUUAGUCAAACAUUCAGAAAUUUAUUACAUGCGAAAGUCUUUUUGUUUCCAAAUCAGCAGACCCAAGUAGAAUUUUUUAUGUUAAAUCAAGUAACUUGGCUUUUUUUUUUUAAUUGUUAUUUUGGCAAUUAAUUAAUUCAAGAUGUUUAAAAUUUUAACUUGCAAUCACUAAUGUAAUUCAUUUUCAUAAAAUCAAAGCCUGUUUUGAAUAAUUUUAUAUAAAUGUAUCAAAAGAUAACAAGCAGAAACUGAAGCGCAUUUAAGCAUUGUCACAUAAUGCUUCUUCUGGUCAAACUAUUCUUACACUUUCUGCUCUGGUAUGUUUCAGAACUGUAUGAAUAUCUUCCGAAUCUCUGAGUUAUACUGUUUUUCAUUGUGCCUUUAUAUAUUUUCCCAUGCCAUGUUUCAACAAUGCAUAGAUGACAUAUUCAUGUAAAAAAUUAUUGUAUGUUCUAUAAUGAAUCAGGAAUACAAUAAAGACUUUUACAAAAAUAUGCAUAAGUUUUAUCAAAAAGUAUCACAAUAAAAUAUUCAAUACAAUUUUUGUUUGUUUGUUUUGUGCUGUGUAAUACCUAGUCUGUGCCACCGAAAGAAAUCACUGCUGAAGAACACAUUUUCAGUCUUAAUCAGUCAGACCUACCUUACAGGAUUUUGUAAAGAUUUAUAAAGUGCUUAGAAGUUGUAAAGCUAACC